AACGAACGCUGGCGGCAUGCCUAACACAUGCAAGUCGAACGAGACCUUCGGGUCUAGUGGCGCACGGGUGCGUAACGCGUGGGAACCUGCCCUUAGGUUCGGAAUAACUCCCCGAAAGGGGUGCUAAUACCGGAUAAUGUCUUCGGACCAAAGAUUUAUCGCCUUUGGAUGGGCCCGCAUUGGAUUAGCUAGUUGGUAGGGUAAAAGCCUACCAAGGCGACGAUCCAUAGCUGGUCUGAGAGGAUGAUCAGCCACACUGGGACUGAGACACGGCCCAGACUCCUACGGGAGGCAGCAGUGGGGAAUAUUGGACAAUGGGCGAAAGCCUGAUCCAGCAAUGCCGCGUGAGUGAUGAAGGCCUUAGGGUUGUAAAGCUCUUUUACCCGGGAUGAUAAUGACAGUACCGGGAGAAUAAGCACCGGCUAACUCCGUG
rnacentral:rRNA from 1 species